rnacentral:rRNA from 1 species
UACGUAGGGGGCUAGCGUUGUCCGGAUUUACUGGGCGUAAAGAGCGCGCAGGCGGUCGAUCAAGUCGAGUGUGAAAGCCCCCGGCUCAACUGGGGAGGGUCAUUCGAUACUGAUCGACUCGAAGGCAGGAGAGGGUAGUGGAAUUCCCGGUGUAGUGGUGAAAUUCGUAGAUAUUGGGAAGAACACCGAUGGCGAAGGCAGCCAUCUGGACCGACACUGACGCUGAGGCGCGAAAGCGUGGGGAGCAAACAGG